CGGAGGGUGCAAGCAUUGAUCGGAAUUACUGGGCGUAAAGGGCGCGUAGGCGGCUUUGAAAGUCAGAUGUGAAAUUCUGGGGCUCAACCCCAGAGCUGCAUUUGAAACUCCAGAGCUUAGAGGAUGGUGAGGGAAAACGGAAUUCCACGUGUAGCGGUGAAAUGCGUAGAUAUGUGGAAGAACACCAGUGGUGAAGACGGUUUUCUGUGCCAAACCAGACGCUGAAGCGCGAAAGCUAGGGGAGCAAACAGGAUUAGAUACCCUGGUAGUCCUAGCCAUAAACGAUGCAUACUAGAUGUAGGAGGGCUCAACCCUUUCUGUAUCGGAGCUAACGCGUUAAGUAUGCCGCCUGGGGAGUACGCUCGCAAGGGUG
rnacentral:rRNA from 1 species